GGUUAAGCGACUAAGCGUACACGGUGGAUGCCCUGGCAGUCAGAGGCGAUGAAGGACGUGCUAAUCUGCGAUAAGCGUCGGUAAGGUGAUAUGAACCGUUAUAACCGGCGAUUUCCGAAUGGGGAAACCCAGUGUGAUUCGUCACACUAUCAUUAACUGAAUCCAUAGGUUAAUGAGGCGAACCGGGGGAACUGAAACAUCUAAGUACCCCGAGGAAAAGAAAUCAACCGAGAUUCCCCCAGUAGCGGCGAGCGAACGGGGAGCAGCCCAGAGCCUGAAUCAGUGUGUGUGUUAGUGGAAGCGUCUGGAAAGGCGCGCGAUACAGGGUGACAGCCCCGUACACAAAAAUGCACAUGCUGUGAGCUCGAUGAGUAGGGCGGGACACGUGGUAUCCUGUCUGAAUAUGGGGGACCAUCCUCCAAGGCUAAAUACUCCUGACUGACCGAUAGUGAACCAGUACCGUGAGGGAAAGGCGAAAAGAACCCCGGCGAGGGGAGUGAAAAAGAACCUGAAACCGUGUACGUACAAGCAGUGGGAGCACGCUUAGGCGUGUGACUGCGUACCUUUUGUAUAAUGGGUCAGCGACUUAUAUUCUGUAGCAAGGUUAACCGAAUAGGGGAGCCGAAGGGAAACCGAGUCUUAACUGGGCGUUAAGUUGCAGGGUAUAGACCCGAAACCCGGUGAUCUAGCCAUGGGCAGGUUGAAGGUUGGGUAACACUAACUGGAGGACCGAACCGACUAAUGUUGAAAAAUUAGCGGAUGACUUGUGGCUGGGGGUGAAAGGCCAAUCAAACCGGGAGAUAGCUGGUUCUCCCCGAAAGCUAUUUAGGUAGCGCCUCGUGAACUCAUCUCCGGGGGUAGAGCACUGUUUCGGCAAGGGGGUCAUCCCGACUUACCAACCCGAUGCAAACUGCGAAUACCGGAGAAUGUUAUCACGGGAGACACACGGCGGGUGCUAACGUCCGUCGUGAAGAGGGAAACAACCCAGACCGCCAGCUAAGGUCCCAAAGUCAUGGUUAAGUGGGAAACGAUGUGGGAAGGCCCAGACAGCCAGGAUGUUGGCUUAGAAGCAGCCAUCAUUUAAAGAAAGCGUAAUAGCUCACUGGUCGAGUCGGCCUGCGCGGAAGAUGUAACGGGGCUAAACCAUGCACCGAAGCUGCGGCAGCGACGCUUAUGCGUUGUUGGGUAGGGGAGCGUUCUGUAAGCCUGUGAAGGUGUGCUGUGAGGCAUGCUGGAGGUAUCAGAAGUGCGAAUGCUGACAUAAGUAACGAUAAAGCGGGUGAAAAGCCCGCUCGCCGGAAGACCAAGGGUUCCUGUCCAACGUUAAUCGGGGCAGGGUGAGUCGACCCCUAAGGCGAGGCCGAAAGGCGUAGUCGAUGGGAAACAGGUUAAUAUUCCUGUACUUGGUGUUACUGCGAAGGGGGGACGGAGAAGGCUAUGUUGGCCGGGCGACGGUUGUCCCGGUUUAAGCGUGUAGGCUGGUUUUCCAGGCAAAUCCGGAAAAUCAAGGCUGAGGCGUGAUGACGAGGCACUACGGUGCUGAAGCAACAAAUGCCCUGCUUCCAGGAAAAGCCUCUAAGCAUCAGGUAACAUCAAAUCGUACCCCAAACCGACACAGGUGGUCAGGUAGAGAAUACCAAGGCGCUUGAGAGAACUCGGGUGAAGGAACUAGGCAAAAUGGUGCCGUAACUUCGGGAGAAGGCACGCUGAUAUGUAGGUGAAGUCCCUCGCGGAUGGAGCUGAAAUCAGUCGAAGAUACCAGCUGGCUGCAACUGUUUAUUAAAAACACAGCACUGUGCAAACACGAAAGUGGACGUAUACGGUGUGACGCCUGCCCGGUGCCGGAAGGUUAAUUGAUGGGGUCAGCGCAAGCGAAGCUCUUGAUCGAAGCCCCGGUAAACGGCGGUACGUAACUAUAACGGUCCUAAGGUAGCGAAAUUCCUUGUCGGGUAAGUUCCGACCUGCACGAAUGGCGUAAUGAUGGCCAGGCUGUCUCCACCCGAGACUCAGUGAAAUUGAACUCGCUGUGAAGAUGCAGUGUACCCGCGGCAAGACGGAAAGACCCCGUGAACCUUUACUAUAGCUUGACACUGAACAUUGAGCCUUGAUGUGUAGGAUAGGUGGGAGGCUUAGAAGUGUGGACGCCAGUCUGCAUGGAGCCGACCUUGAAAUACCACCCUUUAAUGUUUGAUGUUCUAACGUUGACCCGUAAUCCGGGUUGCGGACAGUGUCUGGUGGGUAGUUUGACUGGGGCGGUCUCCUCCUAAAGAGUAACGGAGGAGCACGAAGGUUGGCUAAUCCUGGUCGGACAUCAGGAGGUUAGUGCAAUGGCAUAAGCCAGCUUGACUGCGAGCGUGACGGCGCGAGCAGGUGCGAAAGCAGGUCAUAGUGAUCCGGUGGUUCUGAAUGGAAGGGCCAUCGCUCAACGGAUAAAAGGUACUCCGGGGAUAACAGGCUGAUACCGCCCAAGAGUUCAUAUCGACGGCGGUGUUUGGCACCUCGAUGUCGGCUCAUCACAUCCUGGGGCUGAAGUAGGUCCCAAGGGUAUGGCUGUUCGCCAUUUAAAGUGGUACGCGAGCUGGGUUUAGAACGUCGUGAGACAGUUCGGUCCCUAUCUGCCGUGGGCGCUGGAGAACUGAGGGGGGCUGCUCCUAGUACGAGAGGACCGGAGUGGACGCAUCACUGGUGUUCGGGUUGUCAUGCCAAUGGCACUGCCCGGUAGCUAAAUGCGGAAGAGAUAAGUGCUGAAAGCAUCUAAGCACGAAACUUGCCCCGAGAUGAGUUCUCCCUGACUCCUUGAGAGUCCUGAAGGAACGUUGAAGACGACGACGUUGAUAGGCCGGGUGUGUAAGCGCAGCGAUGCGUUGAGCUAACCGGUACUAAUGAACCGUGAGGCUUAACCUU
rnacentral:rRNA from 1 species